CAUGGCUCUUGGCACUCAGUGUGGCUGAGUGAACAGUGGCGGAGAGACAAACUUACCUGCAGCUGGUGGUCGGCCUUUCUCUUUCAGAUUUGCCAAUUCAGAUUUUGACCAACCCAUCAGUUUAAAAACAAAAACCAGAGGUUGAUGCAGUGGAGUCUUAUGCUUCAUGAAUGGGACCAAAUAGCCGGCAAACACUGUAGUUGCCAACAUCCUUUCUCGAAUUGUUGAAUGAAGUCUUCCACAGCAAGCCAAGCCAUUUAAAAGAGAGCUUGUAAAUGCAAGGAAUCUGUGGCAUCUGACAUCAAGGGGCAUAGUUGAGGUGGAAGCAUGUCAAGAGACCACUGAAUUCGGAAACGCACCAGUCAUUCUUCAACCCAGG